CAGGGACUAGAGGAGGAAGAGGUGCUUCUGGCUGUCUGAAAGACUUAAGCAGAACACCAAGACUCUUUAAUCUUGGUAGAUUGUGAGAAAAGAGGGUCGAGGCCAUAGGAGAGAGCUAAAGGAGGGAGAAACUGGAGAAGCUUUGGGUGAAAGCCUAAUUCAAUCAGCAAUUCUGGCGCAUGGCAGAACAAAGGCUGAACCUUUAUGUGCUUUGAAAUAUCUGGUCGCAAACUGCAAUAUAACUGCUUGGUGGUAUUUAACCCACAGUAGCACCAACACAGUAGCCUGGCGCCCCUCAAGUAAAGCGUGGAGCUGCCUGCAACAUCACAAAAUAUUUUGUUUUUCCUUACCAUCAGAUGGGGUGCGGAAGGAGGAAAGGAAAACUCAUUCCCCUGUCUGGAGCCAGCUGGAAAGGAAGAAUUGUCUCAGAGACCAGAAGAGUCUGAACUAAGUGACCUGUCUGGGGAGGACUCUGUCUAUCCAGAGAUCUGUAUGCAAUGUUGUAGCCAUGUUGGCCCCUGGAUUUAGGGAGACAAGGUGGGUGAGGUAAUAUCUUUCACUGGAUCAGCUUCUAUUGGUGACAGAGAUGAGCUCUUGCGUUUACACAGAAGAACUCUAAGCUUGAAAGUUUCUCUUUCCAACAGAAGUUGAUCCAAUAAAAGAUACUAUCUCACCCACACUCUCUAAUAUAGAGACCUUACAGCCUGCAAACAUUUUCAGGAUUCAGUGGGACUGCCCAUACUCAUAGUUACUCAAAGGGUAUUUGCAUGAGGGGGGCCUAACAUCCUGUGCCCAUAAGUAAGCAACAACUUUUUCCAAAGCCAAGGAAAGAAAUUAUAGAUUUGGUGUAGUGCAAUAGUUAGAAAAGUCACAAAGGGGCAGAUAUGGCCUAUUAAAUGAGCAAUGCCUGCUACUUAUGGGGAAAUGGCACCUGACUAGUAGCAAGAAAAUCAUUUUUAAUGCUCAUAGUAACUGAGACAGAGGAAACCAGGAAGACCAAGGAUUCCGAUGACAGAAAGCUGUAUGUAAAAGUCAACAACUUCCAUCACUUCCAAUUUUAUGAUUAAAUCUUUCAGUCCAAACAAAAUAAAUGCAUAAUUAUAUUGUUAAUAAAACUUCUGAAAGUAUAGUAGCAGAUAACAGCUGGGGUUUCCCCUAUUAUCCGCUCAGUGUUCAACCUGGGAAUUGAUUAUAAAGCCUUUGAACUUUUGUUCAAAGUUUGUUUUUUAAACUCAGGGUUUUUCAGUUGCUCUGCAUCUACUGUAUAAUGUAAUAUUUUCUUGAAUCCCUGUUAAAGAUGCUGUAAAUAUCAGAUGUGUCGGAACAGACUCUGAAAUGAAUUAAAUGUAAUUCAAAUUGUGCUUAAGACAAAUUAAUGUUAAAAUGGAGCAAUAAAUACAUAUCAAAUGUGGAAUUAUAAAAAUAUUGAACAAUAUGAUAGAAGUAUGUAAUCAUAAUGAAUUUCUGUAUUUCACUAAUUAUUGUGUGGAUGCAUCUGGCAAGCAUCUAAGUUAUCAAGCGUAUGCAUAUCCACCCUGCAGAAGCACCUGGUAGGUAAGUAGCAAAAAUGCAGAUUAACAAGUCAUCAUGUAAAUAUGUGACAAAGGGCACACGAUCUCUUGAAGCUAUGCUCAGUGAGAUGGGAAAAGGAAAGACUGGUCAAUGCAGUUCUAUGCAUAAUAUACAAUGUCUCUCUAGUGUAGUGAAACUCCUUAAAAUGAACCUAAACCCCUCAAAGCAUUUUAAUGAACACAAACAGCACUGAGAUAAAGAUGAGUUAUAACUAUGGAGCAGUGUUAAAGCAAGGUUUUUAUCUAUUUUAUGCAGUUAUAUGACCCCUGUAGUAUCUGAACACCUCACAAACUUUAAUAUAUUUAUCCUUCGAACUCCUCUCUGAGGUAGAGACUUGCUA